rnacentral:miRNA from 1 species
AUGGAUCUUUGUAUGUCUCAUG